rnacentral:siRNA from 1 species
AGUGAUUCAGUCCCGCCAAAGCUC